ACGCUCGACACCUACGGGAGGCAGCAGUGGGGAAUAUUGCACAAUGGAGGAAACUCUGAUGCAGCGAUGCCGCGUGAGGGAAGAAGGUUUUCGGAUUGUAAACCUCUGUCUUUGGGGACGAUAAUGACGGUACCCAAGGAGGAAGCUCCGGCUAACUACGUGCCAACAGCCGNGGUAAUCUGAGCGGGCUGGCAAGGC
rnacentral:rRNA from 1 species